UUUAACGGAUGCCCAUAUGAGCUUUCUAUAAUCCGUCUCAUCAUGAUUGAUUCAGGGUGUCCCAAUUGAUCAUGCCAAAGUACAAAAGUAUUGGAACCAGUAACCUUUUGGUUUACUGUUGAAUGUGCCUCAAUUGCACUAAUUUUUGUCCAAUACAGGCCACAAGAUAAAGACAGAAAUUUCUCAAUAACCCUCUUUUGGCCAGAGACACUCUUUGUAAUGAUG
rnacentral:lncRNA from 1 species